GGGAGAUAUUUGAUGACAAUGAGGAGGCAUAUCAGGUCGGUGCUUUAGAGACAAAGGAAACAUCCUCCCAGUCAGGAAGUCAAGAGACAUGCACAGAAAAUAACACAU